GAUGAACGCUGGCGGCGUGCCUAAUACAUGCAAGUCGAGCGAACAGACGAGGAGCUUGCUCCUCUGACGUUAGCGGCGGACGGGUGAGUAACACGUGGAUAACCUACCUAUAAGACUGAGAUAACUUCGGGAAACCGGAGCUAAUACCGGAUAACAUGUUGAACCGCAUGGUUCAACAGUGAAAGACGGUCUUGCUGUCACUUAUAGAUGGAUCCGCGCCGCAUUAGCUAGUUGGUAAGGUAACGGCUUACCAAGGCAACGAUGCGUAGCCGACCUGAGAGGGUGAUCGGCCACACUGGAACUGAGACACGGUCCAGACUCCUACGGGAGGCAGCAGUAGGGAAUCUUCCGCAAUGGGCGAAAGCCUGACGGAGCAACGCCGCGUGAGUGAUGAAGGUCUUCGGAUCGUAAAACUCUGUUAUUAGGGAAGAACAAAUGUGUAAGUAACUAUGCACGUCUUGACGGUACCUAAUCAGAAAGCCACGGCUAACUACGUG
rnacentral:rRNA from 1 species